rnacentral:tRNA from 1 species
AUUUAAAUAGUUUAAUUAAAAUAUUGAUUUGUGGAAUCAAUGAUACAUAUAUUGUUUUAGAUA